rnacentral:rRNA from 1 species
UAUCCCGAAACUCGGUGGUGAAACUCUACCGCGGUAACGAUACUGCAGGGGGGGCUCUGCGGAAAAAUAGCUCGAUGCCAGGAU